UACGGAGGGUGCAAGCGUUGUUCGGAAUUACUGGGCGUAAAGCGCGUGUAGGCGGCUUUUUAAGUCUGAUGUGAAAGCCCGGGGCUCACCCCCGGAAGUGCAUUGGAAACUGGAAGGCUAGAGUACCGGAGAGGAGGGUGGAAUUCCUGGUGUAGCGGUGAAAUGCGUAGAUAUCAGGAGGAACACCGGUGGCGAAGGCGGCCCUCUGGACGGAUACUGACGCUGAGACGCGAAAGCGUGGGGAGCAAACAGG
rnacentral:rRNA from 1 species